GCAGCGUUACGUGCCCCAGCCAGUUACCUGUGUGUCGCCUUUAGACUGGCACCCGUUUGUCUCUGUAUGCCCGUGAACCGCUGUCGUUUUUUCACCUAAAAAUACCAAAAGUAAGAAAACCAAAAGUUCUUGGUGCUGACCAUAAUGAGGCAACAGGCAGAAGCUGGCGUGAGUGAACAGCCCACACCAAACGUUACCUUGAAGAGACAGAAUCCUGGAUUGUAUUGAGGUACCAAGGGACGAUGCAAAUACAUCUGUCAAGCCACAGGAGGCGUGGCAAUGUGUGCCUCUUGGAUCAAAUGGGGGAGUAUUUUCCAAAUGCAUCCAGAUAACAACAUGAACCCCCGUGAUGAGCUUGGUUAUGGGUCAAGGCACCAGUUCCCACCUGUUCACACCAACUGGCCAACAGGGAUGGGUCCAGUGACAACAACAUUGCCUAAAGUGGACAGGGCUCAGCACAAACGGGGCUGUAAUUCCUGGUCUGAACUUGGCAGAGGUCUGCGCUCUCCCGAGCUCUUUCUUAUUACAUCUGUCGC